AAUAAUUUUCGGUUUUGGGAGCUAAGGAAGAGAGAGAAUGGAAAAAAUCCCGUUUUUGAAGUUUAUAGCAGCAAAGAUCAGAGGAUUCCCGAAGAUCUAACCGUUGGAUGGAGCUCAAAUUUGGAUCGAGUCUUCUACACAUAUAUACGAAGAUUUUGACCGUUGGGAUCGUCAUUUAGAGGCUUGGAGGUCGGAUAUUUACUGCCCUGAACAGAACAGCUUGCUGGAAGGGUUUCCGGCGGCUGUUUGGUCUUUCCAGCAACAAUAGCGACUGUUUCCAGCUGAAACAACAAGUGUUAUGUUUAGAUCUUGAAAAUAGGGUUCCAUGGAAACCUGAAUCACCCAGAUCGGAGUCCGGAUGACCAAGUUAUGGGCUCGACAAGUUUGUGUCGCAUUUCGUUACAUGAUUUUCUUACAAACCGGUUUAGGACAGCGUGUCCGCAAAGGUACAUGCCAUUUUGGGCGCGAACUUGGUAGGCAACGGGACGGACAUAUGGAAUACGUAUCAACUACUUACGGGUCAAGGUAAGUGCUUCUGGCACUUAAUAGUUGUAUGCAGGAAUAUAGAUUUAUUGUUUGCAGGUUCUUGUACUUGUAUACGUAGAACAUCUUGUGGUUUAAUGUAGAACUUAUAUGAGAAUAUUAAAGUAUGAAAUGUUAAAUUGGAGGUAUUCAUAGGAGAAUACCAUGGACAAGGGAAUCAUAACCCAUGAGUAUGGUAUAAUGGGAACUAGAGGUUCGCGGACUGAUGAAUGGAACAAGGUUUGGUGACAAAUCUGAGAUCGGGUAAGCAAUGUCAGUUCAUCCAUCCGUCAGGUUAUAUCGUCGACUUAGACGGGUCAUCAUGUUUUACUUGCCUUUUACGGCAUUCGGUAGUUUUAAAUCGUGUAAGCUUCAUGAGUCAGACGUAGUGUCUUGUUUUGUCUAUGUUCAAGUUUAGAGUUGUAAAAUGGAUUGUAAACAGGUUUUGUUACCGUAACGGUUAUCCGUAAUACGAACGGGUCAUGCCGAAAUUUUAUAAAAAUUGGAAUGGAAUAUGUAAGUUUUUAAAUGA